AGAGUUUGAUCUGGCUCAGAUUGAACGCUGGCGGCAGGCUUAACACAUGCAAGUCGAGCGGAGAGAGGUAGCUUGCUACUGAUCUUAGCGGCGGACGGGUGAGUAAUGCUUAGGAAUCUGCCUAUUAGUGGGGGACAACAUUUCGAAAGGAAUGCUAAUACCGCAUACGUCCUACGGGAGAAAGCAGGGGAUCUUCGGACCUUGCGCUAAUAGAUGAGCCUAAGUCGGAUUAGCUAGUUGGUGGGGUAAAGGCCUACCAAGGCGACGAUCUGUAGCGGGUCUGAGAGGAUGAUCCGCCACACNUGGGACUGAGACACGGCCCAGACUCCUACGGGAGGCAGCAGUGGGGAAUAUUGGACAAUGGGCGCAAGCCUGAUCCAGCCAUGCCGCGUGUGUGAAGAAGGCCUUAUGGUUGUAAAGCACUUUAAGCGAGGAGGAAAGCUACUUUAGUUAAUACCUAGAGAUAGUGGACGUUACUCGCAGAAUAAGCACCGGCUAACUCUGUGCCAGCAGCCGCGGUAAUACAGAGGGUGCAAGCGUUAAUCGGAUUUACUGGGCGUAAAGCGCGCGUAGGCGGCUAAUUAAGUCAAAUGUGAAAUCCCCGAGCUUAACUUGGGAAUUGCAUUCGAUACUGGUUAGCUAGAGUGUGGGAGAGGAUGGUAGAAUUCCAGGUGUAGCGGUGAAAUGCGUAGAGAUCUGGAGGAAUACCGAUGGCGAAGGCAGCCAUCUGGCCUAACACUGACGCUGAGGUGCGAAAGCAUGGGGAGCAAACAGGAUUAGAUACCCUGGUAGUCCAUGCCGUAAACGAUGUCUACUAGCCGUUGGGGCCUUUGAGGCUUUAGUGGCGCAGCUAACGCGANAAGUAGACCGCCUGGGGAGUACGGUCGCAAGACUAAAACUCAAAUGAAUUGACGGGGGCCCGCACAAGCGGUGGAGCAUGUGGUUUAAUUCGAUGCAACGCGAAGAACCUUACCUGGCCUUGACAUAGUAAGAACUUUCCAGAGAUGGAUUGGUGCCUUCGGGAACUUACAUACAGGUGCUGCAUGGCUGUCGUCAGCUCGUGUCGUGAGAUGUUGGGUUAAGUCCCGCAACGAGCGCAACCCUUUUCCUUAUUUGCCAGCGAGUAAUGUCGGGAACUUUAAGGAUACUGCCAGUGACAAACUGGAGGAAGGCGGGGACGACGUCAAGUCAUCAUGGCCCUUACGGCCAGGGCUACACACGUGCUACAAUGGUCGGUACAAAGGGUUGCUACCUAGCGAUAGGAUGCUAAUCUCAAAAAGCCGAUCGUAGUCCGGAUUGGAGUCUGCAACUCGACUCCAUGAAGUCGGAAUCGCUAGUAAUCGCGGAUCAGAAUGCCGCGGUGAAUACGUUCCCGGGCCUUGUACACACCGCCCGUCACACCAUGGGAGUUUGUUGCACCAGAAGUAGCUAGCCUAACUGCAAAGAGGGCGGU
rnacentral:rRNA from 1 species